GAUGAACGCUGGCGGCGUGCCUAAUACAUGCAAGUCGAGCGAACAGAUAAGGAGCUUGCUCCUUUGACGUUAGCGGCGGACGGGUGAGUAACACGUGGAUAACCUACCUAUAAGACUGGGAUAACUUCGGGAAACCGGAGCUAAUACCGGAUAACAUAUUGAACCGCAUGGUUCAAUAGUGAAAGGCGGCUUUGCUGUCACUUAUAGAUGGAUCCGCGCCGUAUUAGCUAGUUGGUAAGGUAACGGCUUACCAAGGCAACGAUACGUAGCCGACCUGAGAGGGUGAUCGGCCACACUGGAACUGAGACACGGUCCAGACUCCUACGGGAGGCAGCAGUAGGGAAUCUUCCGCAAAGGGCGAAAGCCUGACGGAGCAACGCCGCGUGAGUGAUGAAGGUCUUCGGAUCGUAAAACUCUGUUAUCAGGGAAGAACAAAUGUGUAAGUAACUAUGCACAUCUUGACGGUACCUGAUCAGAAAGCCACGGCUAACUACGUG
rnacentral:rRNA from 1 species